UUGUUCUCAUCAUACAUAGUAGCAUUUUUCAGAAGAUAAAUAAAAAUAACCGGUUUAACCAAAUUAUUAUAUUAUUUAUAAUAAUUUCUACAUUAUAUUAUGUUCAAAACCUUUAUAUAUUUUGUAGUAAAGUAGUUUUCUAGUAGCAUCAGUUUACAUCCGAUUUGUGUUGGCGAAUGGAUUUAGUGUCCGCAGUCAUAUAAACCCAAACAAACAACAACAUCCGAUUUGUGCAACACCUAGUGUGUAUAAUAACUUUGAACAGAAAAGAUUAUUUAAGAAGUGUGUUUGUUGAUACUCCAGUGAAAUAAUCAAAAUUUUACUGCGUUCAGGACGUCACAAAAACCAGCACCUGGAAAAUUGGAAGGAUACUACAAAUCUGGCCUCCACAUAAGUGGUCUGUAGCUUCGACAUGAUAGGUGUGAAAUUUUAAACGUUCUUGCUGUUGAUUGGAUAGGAAGGGUAGCGUUAUCUAGCCUCCACGCUAGGUACACCAUAGCCUCCAUACGGUACUUCCAAUAUUUAAUAUUAUUUUAUUCAAGUGGACAAUAAAGGUAAAACACAAACAA